CACACACACACACCCCUCCCUCCAACCGCCCCGCCCCUUCCCCUCAAAAUAACUCGAGUCGAAUGUUUCAAGGGGUAACAGCAAUGCUUGUGAGAGACGGGCUAAGUGUAUCUAUAUCAAUCUUUCCCACUAGGUACCCGCCAAAGUAACAGAGGUCAUUGUAUUUUCGAUGCAAUACCUCCGUUACGGAUCGAAGUAAGGACCUCUGUUUUACUAGACUGUCGCUCUAUCGUAUGAGAUCAAAGUAAUUCUCCAAAACCGAGUCGGCAAGAAGCGGUUAUUAUUUUACCAGGGUGAUGUAAAGAUGUAGAUCAAUUGUCUAAAUAAAAUAAGGUAUGCAUGUAAUUCUAUGUAUAUGAAUGUACAUAAAUUUGUUGAUCAUAUCAAAUGUUUAUGCGCUUUUACCGAGUUAUAGGUGGUGAUUAUUGGUUUUUCAUUACAAUUAUUUUAUUUCCGGACAGAAAAGUUUGUGUUAAGGAUCCCUGUCUCACUGCAAUCUAGUUUUUUGUAGAUACAGUAACCUCCCCUUAAUUUCGUUGUGUAUAUAACUGUACCACAGUUGGACCUGGGUACUACCGUUGACAAGGAAGCUUAGUUGGUUAGAAUGACAGUAUAUCAUUAAGAGGUCCAGAGUUCGAAUCUCGGUCUGACCCCGUUCAGAUCACUCACUGUCACCUUUAUUGUUUUUUCUAAAAAAAACACACAAGGUAUAGUUUUCUUUUUAGAAAUUAUUUGUCGAAGAUAUAGUAAUGCCGGACAAAAUAUUUUCAAUACAUGUUCUUUUUUUGCAGUGGUACGGGGAUCCUUAAUAUCGUUUAGACGAAUGACAUAUACAAAUACAACAUCGAAACUCCAUAUAAUUUGAGUCGCGCAAUAUAUCAUUUUAGCUUCACUCAUCAUGCAACACUAAUUAUCACAAGACGAAUCGUCAAAACAGGACCAUGACAUUUAAAGCUGAAUUUAUGUAAAUACAACGGAUGGAGCAAGAUCUUACACCUUAAUAGUCGUGUAUCAGCCAGCAGUUUUUGACAAGCUAUAAUUAUGAAGCUGACGUUUGUGGCACAUUUUAUUGCUGAUAUCAGGAGACUCUGACGUAUGUAGACACAAGAAUACACUACGUGAGAACGCGCAUGUCUCUAUAUGCCCUUUCCGCUGACCUUCCCUCAUAAUAAGUCAUAUAAAGUGACGAAACUCAUACGCAAUAUCAUCUUUAAGUUUUUCUUUGAUAUACAAAUGUCUUUUAUCUGUUUGUAUUUGAAAAUGCUUUGUCAAACCAGAUUAAAUGUUGUUUUAUUUUC